GGCCAAGCGGUAAGGCGCCUGACUCUGGAUCAGGAGAUCGAAGGUUCGAAUCCUUCCG
rnacentral:tRNA from 1 species